rnacentral:lncRNA from 1 species
AAGUCAUUUGUUGCUGAUCGAUAGUAGCCGAUUAUCUGUCGGUUGACUGAUUGUGAGUCGGCAUAAUGUACUCAAUCGGCCGACGUAAAGUCGAAGUCGGAGUUGGUUAAUUUGAGUCGGGGGUUGAUUGACUUGCCCCAACAGUUGCCCUCCAUUCUCAAGUCCCAGGUGAUCCGACGUGUGUAUUACCACGUGAUUUGUCACAUUGGACGAAGGGAGUCAUCUCAUGUCAUAUCGAAUCCUGAUUUGGCUGC